UACGUAGGGGGCUAGCGUUGUCCGGAUUUAUUGGGCGUAAAGAGCGUGUAGGCGGCUAGAUAGGUCCGUUGUGAAAACUCGAGGCUCAACCUCGAGACGUCGAUGGAAACCAUCUGGCUAGAGUCCGGAAGAGGAGAGUGGAAUUCCUGGUGUAGCGGUGAAAUGCGCAGAUAUCAGGAGGAACACCGGUGGCGAAGGCGGCAUCCUGGACCAAUAUUGACGCUGAGGAGCGAAAGCCAGGGGAGCAAACGGG
rnacentral:rRNA from 1 species